UAAGAACAGUGUUAUAAAUAAAUAACAUUUCUCAAGAAGUAAAAUUGUCUUUUCCCAACAUAUUCUCUAAUCCUCUAACAUAUGAUAUUCUAUAUAUUCUCAUAUUAAGGAGGACACUAUGUGUGGGCUGAGUGUGGCAGGGUGAGUGUAAUUGGGUGAGUAUGACAGGGUGAGUUUGGGUUGGUGAGUAUGAGGGACACUGAGUGUGGCAGGGUGAGUUUGAGAGGAAGAAUAUAGGAG